CGGGCAGGAUGUGGCAAUGUCCUUACUGCUCCCUCAGCCACAACCUCUACUUCCCCAGGCCGACGUGUAAGGGGUUGUUUCAACUGUCGCUGACAUUUAAAAUCCCCAGGGAGCUCAUGACACUGCCCUAACCCCUCCCGGCAUGGAGGUCUCUCCGUGUCAAAUACUCUGCCCAGACGCGUACCCUACCUGCUUUGCAGAGUCGUGCCAAAACCGAACGGCGUCUUUCCACAAGCAAAACGCACACAAGCCACCACUCUCCGUGUGACCCGCUGCCCCUUUACAUGCUUCCUUCUAGGUGGAUACACUCAGAUGUCAUCUGUACGUAGCUGGAACAUUGGGCACAUGUAGGUAACUGAACUCUUAGGACCAGAAACUCUGCUGGUUAAAUUAACCUGGGCAUCAAGAUCUGGGAUUCGGAGUGCGUGGUGGAGAGAGGCCCCGAGAGGGACAACAUCACCGAGAGGAAUGAAGGCCUGACGCGCGAUUCCACCAUGACGCCCACCGAAGUCAUGAUCGUUCAGUUUUUUGUUAUGAAUGUGAUUUAAUGUAUGUGUGUGUGUGCCGGCUAUUAUUUGAUUCGAUCCCUUGAGGACGAACUUUUAUUGUUGACUGAUUUUGUUUUUGCUCGUUUAGUUUCGCAAACCAUUGACAGAGCUAUGAAUAACCUGGAUGAUAGGUUUGAAGUAUAAUUCUAUUGUGCCUUCAGCAAGGGGGGAUGUCAUGACCCAAAGGUCUGAUGUUUUUGUGUGUGCUUCGGCACUAAGAAUUAUCCCCGUGGGUAUAUCGCUUCAUUGCACGGAGGAGUUCUGCUGCGCAGAGAACCCGCAUGCAAAGGAGUGUUCCCGCCACUUUGCAGCGAUCUUUGCAGGGUGCAUUUCCUUUGCAGCACAGAAAUGCACGGUGCAAAGGUUUUCCGCUCGUCAUAUGCAAAUUUGUGCCCCGCAAUUGGCUAGUUCUAAAUUAUUCACACGUGGCAGCUAGUGAUUGGCCUGCUAGCCAUAUAAGAGGCUUGAGCAGUUUCCGCCCAAGCCGAAGAGGACUCCGCAUCCAUCUCGUGGGGACUCUGGGUGUGCGCGGCAGGGUAAUAGAAACCCUGUGUGUCGCUCAGAGGAGUUUGGCGGCCUGAUCCACCGCCCACCUCUUCCCGUCUUCGAACGGAGCCUACUAUAAGACGUAACAACGAGUUUUAUGCGCGCUUGUCCUGGACAUCCGGAGUUUGUCUGCGUGGAGCCUAGCAAGCUCCACGUAAUUGUUCGUGUUCUGUCUGCGUGGAGCCUUGCAACCUCCACGUGUGUUCGUGUUUUUUGUUGUAACCGCGACUCAAGCAAGUUCUCAGCCUACACCACGACCAUCUCGGUGUAAGUAAAAUAAUCUUAAAAUCAA